rnacentral:rRNA from 1 species
UACGAAGGGGGCUAGCGUUGCUCGGAAUCACUGGGCGUAAAGCGCACGUAGGCGGAUUGUUAAGUCAGGGGUGAAAUCCUGGAGCUCAACUCCAGAACUGCCUUUGAUACUGGCGAUCUCGAGUCCGGGAGAGGUGAGUGGAACUGCGAGUGUAGAGGUGAAAUUCGUAGAUAUUCGGAAGAACACCAGUGGCGAAGGCGACUGACUGGACAAGUAUUGACGCUGAGGUGCGAAAGCGUGGGGAGCAAACAGG